UUGCGAGGCACUCUCUGAGGAUAUUAUUUUCGGAAAUUCGUGGAAGCGUCGGUGUUGCAGCAGUGAGAUGAAUGAACACUUGGUGAUUACUGAAUCUGUCGUGAUGAAAUGCUCGGUUUGAAAGAGAUUCUCGGGCUCGGGAGCACAAAUGAGCAGCCUCCAUGUGUGGCAGGGCACAAAGAGAGCGCUGAUUAAAACCUUCACAGGGCCCUGCGUAGUUACAGUCGAAAUGAGGGGAUGAUGUAUGACUGGAUGAUUUUGUGGUCAGUGUGUCAGGCGGCUAAGUGGUGGGUUGAACCAGCGCGCUUGUGUAUACUGUGAGCUCAGAUGCCGAACAGUGCCGGGUCAGCAAAAACGCUCCUUUUCAAAGAUUGUAUGCUUUGUGAAAGUACUUGUGUCACGAGCUUGUUUGGUUAAAGUUUUAUAUUUAUACCAUGACUUCAGUUUAAACAGACGGAUGAUAGUGUUUGUUUUUUAGGUGUGGGACUCGGGGGAGCGGCAAGAAAGAGAAAGCAGUGUGUGAAGAAACAACAGAGUUCACUACAUGCCAAAGAAGACAAUGUAGGCUGCUCUGAUGAGGAGAUGUCUGCUGAAGUUAGCAUGCUAACCAGCUAGCCCCGGCCUGUCCUGUCUCGUAAUCGGCCAACCACUCAGCAGCAAGAGAACUGUAUUCCAGAGAAGGUCACGACCGUCAGGGAAGAACACAGAAGACACAGACUGAUGUAAAAUGAAUGUGUAUGCUCAGUGAAUGGUCUCUCAGGAGCUGUGUGGAGAGGUAAGUAAAGACCUCUUAACAUGCCGAUUAACAGCUAACACCUGAUGAUUCUUUCCUUCUGCCGUCAGAUUCAGAGGGACCUGUGGAGCGGGUGAGGGGGGUAAAGGUCAGACAAGUGUCAGAGGCUGAGAGACAGUGGUCAGUGAAGACAUGAAAGAGGAUGAAGAUGGCGAGGAGGAGGAUGGAGAUGGGGAUCGGGGGGGGGGAGGAUGAGAAGAUCCCUCUGUCAGACACAGGGUCGGGCCCCGGGCUCCGGGCUCAGGAGAGUGACAUAACCCCGGUGUGGUGUGGUCCCACAGCGAGCGCAUUAAUGAGUGUCUGAGAGGGGUUUAAGCUCCAGGGCUUAGCACAGAUCAGGCCUCUGAUUCUCAGCCUCAGGGGAGAAAAAAAAAAACGGGACUGGACUCUGAGCCUCCAUUAUGGCCCAUGCUGGGAGAGACGCAUUAAGGUUAACGCAGAUGAGCGCAGGGCCUGAAACGCUGAGUUCACAUGUUGUAUACAAUCUGACACGCAGGGAGAGUUGGAGCCUUAGUAGACGACGGGCUGUCGUUUGUUGCGUCGGUUACACUUUAAAUCGACUACAUAACAUAUAUUUGUAUUUUAAGAUACUUGUGCUCAUCAGUGUUUUCCAUUUCUAUGCUACUGUUCUUUGUCAAGGAAGAGAAUCUAUGGUCACUUUGACAUUUAAGAUGUUUUAUAAAAAUUGUAACGUGGCAACGACCCAACUGUGUAAAGCUGAGGCGACAACUCAACCAGCUACAACAGUAAAAAGACAUUAAACAGUUAUAUCAGUGCUGGAAAAGUA